AGCGAACGCUGGCGGCAGGCUUAACACAUGCAAGUCGAACGGUCCUUCGGGAUAGUGGCGGACGGGUGAGUAGCACGUGGGAACGUACCCUUAGGUUCGGAACAACACAGGGAAACUUGUGCUAAUACCGGAUAAGCCCUUCGGGGGAAAGAUUUAUCGCCUUUGGAGCGGCCCGCGUCUGAUUAGCUUGUUGGUGAGGUAAUGGCUCACCAAGGCUACGAUCAGUAGCUGGUCUGAGAGGAUGGCCAGCCACACUGGGACUGAGACACGGCCCAGACUCCUACGGGAGGCAGCAGUGGGGAAUCUUGCGCAAUGGGCGAAAGCCUGACGCAGCCAUGCCGCGUGGAUGAUGAAGGUCUUAGGAUUGUAAAAUCCUUUCACCGGGGACGAUAAUGACGGUACCCGGAGAAGAAGCCCCGGCUAACUUCGUGCCAGCAGCCGCGGUAA
rnacentral:rRNA from 1 species